rnacentral:lncRNA from 1 species
ACGAUGAGAUGAAACAAUAAUAGCAACCAACGUUGAAACCAAAGGGGUAUCAACCUUCAACGAUUUCGAGCAAAAAAUAACAUUUUCGAACUUACAAAUAUAACAACUAGCCACCAACACCACACACAUAUCUAUAUCCUAUAUCGACAGAACUUAAAGGAAGAACGGUAAAUUGAAUGAGAAAUUAUCAUUCAAGUAGACACAUAAACUCAGGCAUAAGACAUAAACCAAAUGGAAAGAGGAUCAUGAA